UACGUAGGGUGCGAGCGUUGUCCGGAAUUAUUGGGCGUAAAGAGCUCGUAGGCGGUUUGUCGCGUCGGCCGUGAAAACUUGGGGCUUAACCCCAAGCUUGCGGUCGAUACGGGCAGACUUGAGUUCGGCAGGGGAGACUGGACUUCCUGGUGUAGCGGUGAAAUGCGCAGAUAUCAGGAGGAACACCGGUGGCGAAGGCGGGUCUCUGGGCCGAUACUGACGCUGAGGAGCGAAAGCGUGGGGAGCGAACAGG
rnacentral:rRNA from 1 species